rnacentral:rRNA from 1 species
AGAAUGAACGCUGGCGGCAUGCCUAACACAUGCAAGUCGAACGAGACCUUCGGGUCUAGUGGCGCACGGGUGCGUAACGCGUGGGAAUCUGCCCUUGGGUUCGGAAUAACAGUUAGAAAUGACUGCUAAUACCGAAUGAUGUCGUAAGACCAAAGAUUUAUCGCCCAGGGAUGAGCCCGCGUAGGAUUAGCUAGUUGGUGUGGUAAAGGCGCACCAAGGCGACGAUCCUUAGCUGGUCUGAGAGGAUGAUCAGCCACACUGGGACUGAGACACGGCCCAGACUCCUACGGGAGGCAGCAGUGGGGAAUAUUGGACAAUGGGCGAAAGCCUGAUCCAGCAAUGCCGCGUGAGUGAUGAAGGCCUUAGGGUUGUAAAGCUCUUUUACCCGGGAUGAUAAUGACAGUACCGGAGAAUAAGCUCCGGCUAACUCCGCGCCAGCAGCCGC